GAUGAACGCUAGCGACAGGCUUAACACAUGCAAGUCGAGGGGCAUCACGUUGGCAGCAAUGCUAUGGGUGGCGACCGGCGCACGGGUGAGUAACGCGUAUGCAACCUGCCCGCGACAGGAGGACAGCCCGGCGAAAGUCGGAUUAAUACUCCGUAAAACAGGGGUUCCGCAUGGGGCUAUUUGUUAAAGAUUAAUCGGUUGCGGAUGGGCAUGCGUAACAUUAGGUAGUUGGGAGGGUAAUGGCCUGCCAAGCCGACGAUGUUUAGGGGUUCUGAGAGGAAGGUCCCCCACACUGGUACUGAGACACGGACCAGACUCCUACGGGAGGCAGCAGUGAGGAAUAUUGGUCAAUGGUCGGGAGACUGAACCAGCCAAGUCGCGUGCAGGAAGACGGCCCUACGGGUUGUAAACUGCUUUUACAGGGGAAUAAAGAUUGAUACGAGUAUUGAGAUGCAGGUAUCCUGUGAAUAAGCAUCGGCUAACUCCGUGCCAGCAGCCGCGGUAAUACGGAGGAUGCGAGCGUUAUCCGGAUUUAUUGGGUUUAAAGGGUGCGUAGGUGGGCUAUUAAGUCAGUGGUGAAAUAUUGUCGCUCAACGACAGGACUGCCAUUGAAACUGGUAAUCUUGAGUAUAGAUGAAGUAGGCGGAAUGCGAGGUGUAGCGGUGAAAUGCUUAGAGAUCCCGCAGAACUCCGAUUGCGAAGGCAGCUUACUAAGUUAUAACUGACACUGAAGCACGAAAGCGUGGGUAUCAAACAGGAUUAGAUACCCUGGUAGUCCACGCAGUAAACGAUGAUUACUGGGAGUUUGCGACAGACGGCAAGCUUUAAAGCGAAAGCGUUAAGUAAUCCACCUGGGGAGUACGCCGGCAACGGUGAAACUCAAAGGAAUUGACGGGGGCCCGCACAAGCGGAGGAACAUGUGGUUUAAUUCGAUGAUACGCGAGGAACCUUACCCGGGAUUGAAAUGUGCCUGAAUGGGGCAGAAAUGCUCCGGCCGUCAAAGGCAGGCAUGUAGGUGCUGCAUGGUUGUCGUCAGCUCGUGCCGUGAGGUGUCGGCUUAAGUGCCAUAACGAGCGCAACCCUGACUGUCAGUUGCUAGCAGGUAAAGCUGAGGACUCUGGCGGGACUGCCGGCGUAAGCUGUGAGGAAGGAUGGGAUGACGUCAAAUCAGCACGGCCCUUACAUCCGGGGCGACACACGUGUUACAAUGGCACGGACAGAGAGAGGCGACCGGGCGACCGGGAGCAAAUCCCCAAACCGUGUCCCAGUUCGGAUCGGAGUCUGCAACCCGACUCCGUGAAGCUGGAUUCGCUAGUAAUCGCGCAUCAGCCAUGGCGCGGUGAAUACGUUCCCGGGCCUU
rnacentral:rRNA from 1 species